UCUACACUGUACACUAAAUACCGUAGUUACUCGCAUAAUGAUCGCACUCGCGUGUUGAUCGCACCCCUAAAUUUUGUCGUAAAAAUUCGAUUUUUUUCCCCCCGCAUAAUGAUCGCACCCCGAACUUGCCGCAGCGAUAUGUCAUGUGCCAAGUCUAGCUGAUGAUCAUCAAGUUUACCAUCUGUCGAACGUUACGUAAAUAACUCUUUCAAGACUCACCAAGUGAACUGCACACACCAAACAGAUUCCUAAUUUUUGCCCACCCUUGGCGGAAACGUGCCGUAUUAGCAUAGCAGUAAACACAAAUGCCGUAGUUUUCACCACAUGCCCGCCAUGUGUUUCUACGUCUGUGGCAGCUGAACGUGCCCAUCUCUGUUUCUGUCCUCUAAAAGCGGACAUGGCUAUGCU
rnacentral:lncRNA from 1 species